rnacentral:lncRNA from 1 species
AUGACUAUGAUUGCCCAUGGCUUUGUUAGGAAUGGAUAAACAAGCUAGGUUAUAGUUAUAUAUUUCCAAGCUUGUGUCCUCCUUCUCAGUCAUCCUUUUUUCUUUCCAUUGUUGAUGUCAUUGCUCCUUGAUGAAGAAGUCUUUUCUAGGAAAUAAAAUAAGAAGAGAUUAGUUAGUAUAUUUUUCGCCCUCUCUUGUUUCUUUUUCUUCUUUCACUAUCUUCUCUUUCUCCUCUCUCUCAUUCCUUUCUUCUUCCUCCUUUUCUCUCUCUUUUUUCUCCUCUAUCUUUUAUUGUUCCUCUUUUUCUCUCUUUUCUUUUAGUGCCUUCUUUUCUUAAUCUCUUUUUAGCUUUUGCUCUUGUCUUUC